ensembl:misc_RNA Y_RNA Y RNA
GACCAGUGUGAAGGUAGUGAGUUAUCUCAAUCUCACAGUAAGUUACGGAUUGAACUCCUUGUUCUACUCUUUCCCCACUUCUCACUACUGCACUUGAGUAGUNNNNN